CGUGCUGGUGCAUCGAACUGCUUCCCUCACUUUCGAUCAGUUGUUGCUCCGCGAGCUAAACGUCGGACGCAAGAUGUGGGUUCCUGUGUUGCAUACCUAUUGCGACGGAAAUGUGUGCCUUCGGUAGUCCCUUCCAUCAUGACGUCCUCUUGGAUGCUCGGUUGGACCGGAUAGUGGGGCUCGUGUUCCACGAACGUCGUCUCAUUCGAUCGUUCGGAUGGAYCACGAGUGCCUACUCGUUCUCUCGGAUGCGGAACUCUCAUAAUGGGAGUGGGGUCAUUGGCCCUUGUUCCCUAAUCGUUAAGCGUUUAUCGCUUCACCCGAAUGACGAUCUUGCCUUGUCCUUGAUCGCGYGAAGCCCUCGGGCAUCGCGAUGGAUCAUGCUCGGCGGACGUCGUGAAGGAAUGC
rnacentral:misc_RNA from 1 species